CCUACGGGUGGCAGCAGUGGGGAAUAUUGCACAAUGGGGGAAACCCUGCUGCAGCGACGCCGCGUGAGUGAAGAAGUAUCUCGGUACGUAAAGCUCUAUCAGCAGGGAAGAAAAUGACGGUACCUGACUAAGCAGCACCGGCUAACUACGUGCCAGCAGCCGCGGUAAUACGUCGGGGGCAAGCGUUAUCCGGAUUUACUGGGUGUAAAGGGAGCGUAGACGGCGAUGCAAGUCUGAAGUGAAAGGCGGGGGCCCAACCUCCGGACUGCUUUGGAAACUGUAUGGCUGGAGUGCAGGAGAGGUAAGUGGAAUUCCUAGUGUAGCGGUGAAAUGCGUAGAGAUGAGGAGGAACACCAGUGGCGAAGGCGGCUUACUGGACUGUAACUGACGUUGAGGCUCGAAAGCGUGGGGAGCAAACAGGAUUAGAGACCCGAGUAGUC
rnacentral:rRNA from 1 species